rnacentral:lncRNA from 1 species
GCCGGUCGAAGCGUAUGCACUCCUUUGAGAAAGACCUUCCACUAGCAGACUAAAGACCGUAGGCCACUCACUUUCUGUCUUGAAUGAAGUAAGGAGCGAGUCAGUCCGGAAAGCCGGCCGGGCCAUGAAAGCGGUCGGUUCGGAAGCGCAGGUUGAGGGCCUUCCCUUCCUUCGUCUGUGCCUACACCAUGAACAAUCAUCUGGGCUGUGCAAAAGGUACGCCGUUAGAGUCAGUGCGCUUUACUAAUCCCCGCGAGUAUAGCAUGAUGAGUCCAAGUUCUUACUCCAGCUGUUCCAAGAGUCUACGCUCACUUGGGGACUUCUCACUUCUGAUAUCUACAGGUGUUGUCACCAAUAACCCCUUUUCCGGUUAGCGAAUCUCUCCUUAAAUCGGCCAAGUGCCCCAGCGAACCCACGCAGUCUCAGCAGUCGAACCUAUGGCCCUCUAUAGCCAAAACAGAACAACGGUAAGAGUGGGCUUAAUAAGAAUCCUUUCGUACCUUCGUAUCUAUAAUCUAAACACUUCUCACCUCUGUCCUUUAGGGUUAUAAAGGAGAGGCAAUCUACUGGAAUCAAGGAUUAAGUCGCUCGAGAAGCGAUGGGAACGACGGAACCUUCUCAAGAUAGAUAAGCAAGGUUUCCCUUCCAUGAUCAAUGUCCACAUGAGUUCGUUGAGGUGUCUACACAGGCCUUUUGUCCUCUUUUAUAUUCUGUCGAGAGUUCGGAUUGCUCCACCUAAGUAGAACGAAAAGAAGGAAUUGGAAAUGGAAAGGGGGAAUAGUGAAGCUUCGCUUCCGGUAGCUUGCUUACUCUCCUAGUUAGAAGAAGGCUCUUUGGCGGAUUCUUUAGAUCUGGAUAGAGUCUCGCUCAGUAAAGAUGUAGAUUCGUAAGAUUCCCCUAACCUUGAUAUGAUAUUAGUAAAGCUAACGCGCGCUAGCAGCCCCUUUCUUAUUAUAUUAUUAGUAAGAUAGGGAAAAGGCCUUUCUAUACUAAUAGAAUAGUUAGGGGUGGACGGGGUCAACUCUUCUAUUUUCCAAUUCCCUUCUUCACUUAAUAAUUUACAGAAUGACUGCCAGACUGACAGUCAAAGAGACAGACCGUAAGUAUAAUCUAGUCCAAAAGCGAUCCGCGUUUCCUAGCGAGAUCGGGGUGGUUUGCAUAGAAAGAGAAUAACCGCUCCCGCCUUCCAACACAUCACAGCGGACAAUCUUUAGCAGGUCUAAUUUCCCACAUGUGACUGAGUCGCACAAACAAUGUUAGCGAAAAUAGAAAGGGUCAGGUUCUCUAUUGCACUCCCUAAAUAGGGUUCUUUUCACCUUUCCCUCACGGUAUUUCUCGUUACUCAUGGCAGCAUACAAGCAAUUACAUCAACUCCCAUCUCAUGAAAAACCCUACUAAUAUAAUGGGAAGUCAGGCUCUUCCCCUAUGACAUAAGCGCUCCAGCCAUGAGCACAUAAUAUCUCGAAUGAGAAGAGAAAAAGCCCAACUAUUGGAUAGUUAAAGCAUUAGCAAACCGUACCGUCCUAAAUAGUUCUCAUGGGUCAAGAACAAAGGGAACGAAGGAUCCGUAGGCAAAUCUCUACAACUCUUCGAACUUGAUGCACAAAUAGAUAGAAUAGCAGCAAAUAGCAUCUUUCUAGCCUGCAUAUUCGUGGAACUCAAUCUCAUUUAGAAAGCUUCGUACUAGGGUUGGCUCCUCGCAGUUCUCCCUUCUCACCAAGCCCUGAAAAUCCCUUAGCUCUUUCUCAAAGCGACUUCUGGCAUCACGCUACUUAACUUGAGACCAAAGCACCCGUCAUGGGAUCUGUAAAGUUCAUUAGGCAAUCGGGCUUUUUUCUUUUUAUAGAGAAGUAAUCCUUAAAGUGAUCAGGAGAUAACCUCGUAUUUGGCUCCGAAGUUUGGUGAGAAAGCUCUUUCGUACGCUAGCUAUAUGCUUAACACAUGCAAGUCGAACGUCGUUUUCGGGGAGCUGGGCAGAAGGAAAAGAGGCUCCUAGCUAAAGGUAGCUUGUCUCGCCCAGGAGGUGGGAAGAGUUGAGAACAAAGUGGCGAACGGGUGCGUAACGCGUGGGAAUCUGCCGAACAGUUCGGGCCAAAUCCUGAAUCAAGCUAAAAACCUAAUAUAAGAAAGGUGCUUGUUGAGUAAGACCGCGAGCCCAAGCCCCUUGUAUAGGUUGGGUGCCGGAGCUGCUACAAUUGCUUCAGCGGGAGCUGCUGUCGGUAUUGGAAAUGUCCUUAGUUCCUCGAUUCAUUCCGUGGCGCGAAAUCCAUCAUUGGCUAAACAAUCAUUUGGUUAUGCCAUUUUGGGCUUUGCUCUAACCGAAGCUAUUGCAUCGUUUGCCCCAAUGAUGGCCUUUCUGAUCUCAUCCGUAUUCCGAUCGAAGAAAGAAUCUUUCAGUUUCAUUAUUACAACUAUCUUUUUGAAGCAGAUAGUUUACAGUGCUCAUUCUAUGAAUAGUCAAUUUGAACUCUCAUCAUGGCAGGACCUUUCGUCGAAUUAU